rnacentral:rRNA from 1 species
UACAGAGGUGGCAAGCGUUGUUCGGAAUUACUGGGCGUAAAGGGCGCGUAGGCGGCCUUCUAAGUCAGACGUGAAAUCCCCCGGCUUAACCUGGGAACUGCGUCUGAUACUGGAGGGCUUGAGUGCGGGAGAGGGAUGUGGAAUUCCAGGUGUAGCGGUGAAAUGCGUAGAUAUCUGGAGGAACACCGGUGGCGAAGGCGGCAUCCUGGACCGACACUGACGCUGAGGCGCGAGAGCGUGGGGAGCGAACCGG